CCUACGGGAGGCUGCAGUGGGGAAUAUUGGGCAAUGGGCGCAAGCCUGACCCAGCAACGCCGCGUGAAGGACGAAGGCUUUCGGGUUGUAAACUUCUUUUCUCAGGGACGAAGCAAGUGACGGUACCUGAGGAAUAAGACACGGCUAACUCCGUGCCAGCAGCCGCGGUAAUACGUAGGUGGCAAGCGUUAUCCGGAUUUACUGGGUGUAAAGGGCGUGUAGGCGGGAAAGCAAGUCAGAUGUGAAAACCAUGGGCUCAACCUGGGGCCUGCAUUUGAAACUGGUUGUCUUGAGUCCUGGAGAGGCAGACGGAAUUCCUAGUGUAGCGGUGAAAUGCGUAGAGAUUAGGAGGAACACCAGUGGCGAAGGCGGUCUGCUGGACAGCAACUGACGCUGAGGCGCGAAAGCGUGGGGAGCAAACAGGAUUAGAUACCCCAGUAGUC
rnacentral:rRNA from 1 species